UCGGACCGUGCGGAUAGCUAGAUUUUUUUUGGGUCUGCUUCUGGAGGUUGCUAGUGGUCGACUUCUUCGCGCCGUUAAUGGCGGCACGCGUUCCUCCGAUCUCCCGAAGCUCUCUGGUGAAGUUCCUCCUCCUCCUCCCCCUCCUCCUGUAGAAAUUGUCCGGAGGGAUCGCUCUGCUGGAGGAUCAUCGGUCGGGCGGGGAGGAGAAUCGGCGCCCGGCAUUCAUCGGAUUCACACGGCUGCCGGCGUUAGGGUCGAAACCAGAGGCCAUUUCAGCGCUGUAGAGAGAGAGUAGGCGUCGGCUUUUGAACGAUGGAAUGCAGAGCGGAUUCCGGAAACGCGCUCCAUUUCCGGCAAAUCAAAGGUUUUCCCUCCUCUUCCUCUCUCUCUCUCUCUCUCUCUCUCUCUCUCUCUCUCUCUAGAUCAGCGGAAGUUUUCACGCUUCCCUGCGUGUUUUACCUACUCAAUCGAAAGUCAUCUGCUCAUUGAUUCAUGAAAAAGUUUGCUGCCUCGCGUCAUGCACCAUAUGAGAACAAGAAAAUUUCAAAACGUUCCGUACUUCCACCUUGAGACGCUAGAUCGGAGCAAGAAUAAGAGGGAGGCGGAAAAGGAAGUUCAUUACGAACGUCUUUCACUUUUGCCGUGCGGAACCCCAAGAUGAUCAGUCCCCCCUUUAUUUCCCCAUCCGGGAUUAAGAUGUGGACCAAGUUGACAUCGAAAACUCAUUUCACAGGAGCAGUUCAAGGCUUCCGAAGAAGGAUAUACAGCACUACAGAGGGGUAGCAACAAUCCCCAAAUAGCAAACAUGAAAUUUUGAGGAUUCGUUUGAAGCUCAUCAGUAGGUACAUUAUGCAAAAAAAAAUUGUCUCAGAGGAGUGGAUGGAUGAAGCUAUUUGAUGAAACUUGUGUGCUGCAUGUGUGAUCGGUGGCCCUUUCUUUGUGUAUCAUUUCAAGAAGAUUUGCUUCCAUCAUCUCUGCUUCCGCUUGCUAUGUUUCAAGGGAAGACAACAGCCUGAUGUCGGCGACCCCAGUAACUGCAGUUCUUCCAGACGGCUAGAACAUGGCACCUGACAGAAUUAGAUCGAGUUUAGCCGAUUAAGAUGCCAGAAAUGAACCCCAGUGUUUCAGGUCCCUAUCGAUCGAAAUGACAUAAAUGAAACAUUUCACAUAAAUGUCAACGCAUCUGGGGGUACCUGGAGUUGUCUUUGAACCAAGAGGUGAGAAGGGAGUUGACUUCGGACCCGAUCUAGACGGCAAAGGGCUGAAAGUUGGUGUGUGACCAAAAGAAGGCAUCGGACCAGAUGUUGGCAUCCGUGGUCUCAUGGUAGCGGGAUACGGUUCCCUUGUGUCUACAACUACCACAUCCGAGGUAAGAAAAGUUUUGGCGACAGAAGCUGCAUGCUCCACGCAGCAUCUAACCACCUGUUGACAUUUUGCACAGGAGAUGAAUAAAUCCCGCAUUCACAAUCAAGUACAUGAAGACAGAUAUUGAAUGCGAGGGUUAACUGAGCAGCAAGAAAAUAUGAUUAUUUUCAAGGUGUUGCUCUCAGAUAUUUGCGGGCCACGUACCUUUGAUGGGUCUAAGAUUCCUGCACCCAUCAAGUCCUCAUAACUAUCUUUCGCUGCAUUAUAUCCAUAUCUGUUGUCAUUGGAGGAUAGAAUCUGCAAGUAGAAUAAGGCGUUAUAUUCUACUCCUCUAAAGGAGAAAGGCUCAUCCUUCAUCCUGUCUCCCAGCAUUAUGUUCAUAAUUUUUUCCAUCACGUCGCCUUUUAAUCGAAAUAUUCGGUUAAAAAAAAAAAUCGGUGUUUGUGUCGUUAUAGAGGAAGAAAUGUGAACCUUCUGAAUGACGACACUGCCAUUAACGCCUGCAUUUUUAGCUAUGAGCUUUGUGGGAUAGCUUAGAGCCCUCUUGAAGAUGUCAGCACCAACCUGCAGAAUAUAGGCAUAAAUAGCCUUAAUAGAGAUCUAGAAGUAUUUAAGGGUUGCAUGGUUCAAACAAUUAUAAAAACUGGUACCUUCUGCUCUUCAUUAUCCAGAGAAUUCUUAAUAUCGUCCACCUUCAGAGAUAGCCUCAACAAGCUACAGCCACCUCCAACAACAACACCUUCUUCAAUGGCUGCCUGCAAUACAAACGCUCAAUUCUGAAACCUCUGGCAAUUAAUCUGCCAGGAAGCAUGCAUGGUCUCGGAAUUACUUUGGUCGCAUUCAGAGCAUCCUCAACUCUCAGCAUUUUGUUCUUCAACUCGACUUCCGUCGGUGCACCUACCUGUCAUUUGUUGUUUAGAAAAUAUUUGUACCUGAGAUGAUGCAAGAGCUCAGAAAUAGGGCGCCGCAUAUGUUGGAAUGGAUUGGCUUGCCACCUUCGACAUGUACCGCCAUUACCUGAAGAAUCGCAACCCCACUGGAUAGUCUUGCAAUUCUCUCGCUCAGUAUUUUCUUCUUGAACGUCUCUUUAGUGUUCUGAAACAAGAAAGAGAUGUGUAUUAAGACCAUGCUUUAAGAAAAUUGCCAAGAGAAGGCUACAUGUAGGAAUCUACUUGAUUCAAGUCCAGCAUAUUACUUGGGGCUACUUGAUCUGCACAAUAAAUUUCAUAUUAAUUUUCCUUUAAUGUCUAGCCCUCAGGACCCUAGAUUGAGACCCUAUCCUGGUUCAGCAUGCCCAUAACCACGAGUCUUGUUCUAGGGGAUGGAAUUGGAGACUAAGGUCUUGAUAUGAUAACCAGAUAGCUGACUUAGAAUUUAAUGCUGAGUGCAAACCCAAAUUCUAAGACAAAUUACUAGUCCCCACUGUUUUCAUUUACAACCAGUUUUCUUUUACAUUAAAAUUUGUAUCCUGCUUCGCAUAUCUUGCACCAUUUAUUUUAAUUUGCACGCCACAUUUAUUAAUAAAACAUGCAAAAAAGAAUUAUUUCUUCAAGGAGCUUUGAAAUCUCAUACUAGUGUUACCUCGAAUAAUGCAAAUCAUGAACAAAGAAACUAGCAUCACGAACCUCAACAAGACUUGCAAUCUGCUUUAUCCGCUUCUCCACAGAAUCUUGUGUGCUUCCAUCAGUGACCAGCAAGGUAGAAUCUUUACUUACAACCACCUUUGACGCGGACCCUAACACUUCCUUCCCGACCUUCUCGAGACUAAGUCCCACAUCAUCUCUAACCACAGUACCUGCUCCGCAGACAGAAACCACAGGAGAAGGGACCAGGGCCCCAUCAGACGAAAACCCCACACCACACUCCUCCAUGUUUCCUGAGAAAAAGUCAACUGGAGGCCACAAGAAAAUCAGGAUAUAUAUCUCUUAUUGCAGAUAAGUACCUCCGGUCAGGAUGGCGAUGUCGUCAAGGUAGUGACUCUUGCGCUCUCCAAAGGCAGGAGCUUUAAUGACGGCCACCUUCAGCAGACCUCUGAGCUUGUUUCUGAUUAUUGGAGCCAGCGCUUCCUGUUCGACACUCUCCCCGACUAUCAAAAGAGGGUAUUUUUCUCUGACUGCACCGUCCAAUAUCCUGGACAUCUCUUUCGCACUUGUGAUUUUUUUAUCAACCAAAAGCACCUGCGCGAAUAAAACGGAAUAAAUGGAUUCAUAGUUCAUAAUGAUCAUGCGAGAUGCAAAUGAUAGCUCUCACCUGACCUUGCAAUUCUCAAAUUCUGCCGUCCUGUUUGCUCGAUCUGUGACGAAGUAAGGCGACAAGUAACCGCGGUCGAACUGCAUUCCUUCUACAACUUCCAAGGUGUUCUCUGUGGACCUGCCUUUCUCAAUCCUCACCACGCCCUUCCUCCCAACUCUUCGCAGGGCCUCCGCUACCAUGUUUCCUACUGAGUAGUCGUUCCCGGCGCUCACCGCAGCAACAUCAGCGAUUUCACUGUCUUCAACCUGCAGAAUGCGAAUGCUUCAGCUUCAAGUGUUCCCCUACAAGAUGGACGAGAGACUACUAGACGCAGACUUUCAACAGCAUAAGCAUUUUCCAAGAAUGUUGAUAAAGGAAGCCUGCUGGCAAAUUUUAACCCACGGGUCAGAUACUCUUAGUUGUAAUUGACUUGGAAUUAUGCAAUGUGGGGGGGGGCACUGAGAACAUAUUUAUUUACUUCAUGUCAAGGGGUCAGUACGCACUGCAGUGGUGGAAUUAACCAGAACUCAGUCAUCUGGCCUCCGAGUUGAUGAAUUAUAUUCACCUAUGUGAACAUGCUUGUUAAGACGUCUCACUUAAAAUACGACUGACUGCAAAAUGAAGGUACAGUCCUCCGUCUGGCUGGAAAUGGGCACAAGAGCCCGGUCCGUACAUUCAUUUACUACACACAAACAGGCCCAGUGCGAUACAAGAGCUACUGAUCUUCUCAAAGGUUCUUCGCAAGAACCAGAUGGACUUUCCCUUUGAACCCAGCCCCUAC
rnacentral:lncRNA from 1 species